rnacentral:rRNA from 1 species
GAUGAACGCUGGCGGCGUGCCUAAUACAUGCAAGUCGAGCGAACAGAUGAGGAGCUUGCUCCUCUGACGUUAGCGGCGGACGGGUGAGUAACACGUGGAUAACCUACCUAUAAGACUGGGAUAACUUCGGGAAACCGGAGCUAAUACCGGAUAAUAUAUUGAACCGCAUGGUUCAAUAGUGAAAGACGGUUUUGCUGUCACUUAUAGAUGGAUCCGCGCCGCAUUAGCUAGUUGGUAAGGUAACGGCUUACCAAGGCAACGAUGCGUAGCCGACCUGAGAGGGUGAUCGGCCACACUGGAACUGAGACACGGUCCAGACUCCUACGGGAGGCAGCAGUAGGGAAUCUUCCGCAAUGGGCGAAAGCCUGACGGAGCAACGCCGCGUGAGUGAUGAAGGUCUUCGGAUCGUAAAACUCUGUUAUUAGGGAAGAACAAAUGUGUAAGUAACUAUGCAUGUCUUGACGGUACCUAACCAGAAAGCCACGGCUAACUACGUG